UACGUAGGGGGCAAGCGUUGUCCGGAUUUAUUGGGCGUAAAGAGCGUGUAGGCGGCCAUGUAGGUCCGUUGUGAAAACUCGAGGCUCAACCUCGAGACGCCGAUGGAAACCAUGUGGCUAGAGUCCGGAAGAGGAGAGUGGAAUUCCUGGAUGUAGCGGUGAAUGCGCAGAUAUCAGGAAGAACACCCGUGGCUAAGGCGGCUCUCUAGUACGGUACUGACGCUGAGACGCGAAAGCGUGGGGAGCGAACAGGG
rnacentral:rRNA from 1 species